CUCGCCCCCACCAUCUCCCUCCUGGGGCUGUGGGACCCCCGAUCCCCCAUGGUUUUGGGGUAGGGGUCUCCCAGGUCUUCACAAGUGCCCAAAUCCGGUGGCUUUUGCCCCACGUUGCAUCGUGGGGGGCGUUAACAGGGAGGUCCUGCAGCCACCUCGGCUCCUGCUGCACCCCUCGGGCUUACACACGUAUGCACACAUGCAUUCACACCUGCACAUACACUCACGCGCACCUGCACACCUGCAUGCACACCUGCACACAUACACAAACACGCACACCUGCACGCACACACAGAAAUGCAGGUCUGCAUGCACAAGCUUGACGUGCACGGCACGCAUGACGCCCCCCCGGGGGCUGCAUGACCCCAUGCAUCCCACCCCAGCCCUCGAAGCACGGCCUGCUCAGUGCUGAGCACAGCGUGCGUGUGUGUGCACAUGCGUGUGCACACGUGCGUGGGCUGGCCCAGCCUCCAGAGCUCAGUGCCCACGGUGGGACCGUCGCCUCGCCUUGCAGACACCAUGGUCCCGCGGGCCUGCUGCCUGCUGGUGGGGCUGUGCGCCCUGCUCCCCCAUACCACCCCCCAGCAGGACCCCCCGGGGGACCCUGAGCGCUGUGGCAUCACCUUCCACGCCCCGAACCCCUGCGGUCCACCCCACGUGCCAUCCCCUCUUGCCUCCCGCGAAGAGCUGGAGCACCUGCAGAGCCUCUUGCAGCAGAACAGGGCCACGCUGCAGGAUGUGGAGGCGGUGGCGGUGCUGGAGGAACCCCAAUCCCGGUACCAGGAUGUGAUCAAUGAGGCUCUGCCUGCCAUCCGUGGGGCCAACCAGGAAUUUGGGGAGAGCCUGGACAACGUGCGCAGGGAGCUGGAGGCUCACGUGGCCCAGAGCGAUCACCCGCAGGUGGUGGAGAAGAGGGAGAAGCUGCGCAAGGACCUCCGCCUGGUGGCCCACGUGCUGAAUCUCACCUCCCACCUUGCCCACGUCCUCGACGCCUCCUCCCAACGCCUCCAGGAUGAGCUGAGCCACCGCCUGCAGCGCUCAGCCGCCCGUGCUGCUGCUGCCCAGCCGUAGGACACGGGCAGGGCUCUGCCAUUGCUAUCCAUACAGCCUCGCUUGCUGGUAGGAUGCUGCUUUGUACCCAUGCUGGAUCGUCUGUACUGCUUUCAAGGAGUCCUUUUGCAGAGGGUGUUUGCAAAGCAAGCUGGGUGCUGGGUGGGGUGGGGGCUGCAGCCUGCUGUGCAAGACCUCAUCCACACGAUGCCCAUCACCCCGAGUAUUUAAUGCAUUUGUCUUGUAGGAGCUCUGCCUGUGAAUGGCAGAGCCCCAUGGCACUGCGUGUGCCCCCUGCUGCAGCCUCCUUCCUUCCCCAGCAGAGCUCUGAGCCCCUUUGCUUCUCCCUGAACAUGCUAUGCCCAUGCAACCAUUUGCAGCCAGCCAAAAUCAGCCAAAAUCUGAGAAACAUGGAACAUCUCAAGCUGGAAGGGAGCCCCAAGGAUCACUGAGUGCAACCCCAAAAAUCCAAACUCAGUGUCUGUCUUCAUCCAUGCUGUUCCUUUCUACAAAUGGUCGCCGUCUCCUUUGGGGCAUGGAUGGUGGUGGGGUUGGGGAUGGGCAUGGGAUGAGAUGGGCAUGGAGAUGGAGAUGGGCAUGGGGAUGGGGAUGGGGAUGGGGAUGGAGAUGGGGAUGGGGAUAAGGAUGGGGAUGGGGAUGGGGAUGGGGAUGGGGAUUGGGAUGGGAAUGGGGAUAGAGAUGGGGAUGGUAACGGGGCGGCUGCACACACACAGGCAGAGAAGUGCUGGGUUGGAGCUGCGGGAGAUGAGUACAAGCAGCCCAGCAGUAAAUUGAAGCUGGCAACUGGAGUGCACUGAACCUACAGAGGCUUGGGCAUUAGGAAAAUAGCUGGAGGCAGAACACUCUGAUCUGUUCAAACACAAGGAGGACACGUCCUGGCCACACCAUCGCACUGGGCCUGGGGACACCAUAGGUGUGCACUGCACAGCCCUGGGGCUGGGCAACAGGAACACCCCAGGCAGCAGCACUGACACAUCUCCAGGAGCCGCAGGCAGCACAAUAAAGAUGCAUUGCGCUCUGCCAGGCGUCAGCGUUAUUGCCACGUCUGCUUUGUCUCCUUCCUCCGCUAAGGACAGCACCCAGAGGGGUGGUGACACCACCUCUGUGCUCCUCUCCUCAGGUAUUUUGGGUGCUCAGCACCCAGAGGUGCCCUGAUUUUAGUCUGUGCAGGUGGGCUGGGGUCCAACAUUGGGCUGCAGAAUGGGGAGAGAAGUACAUUCUGGUGACCCCCAAGCGUGGCUCUGCCUUCUUGUUUGCCUCCCAGGGGAAAGGAUGCAAACUGUUCUCCGGGUCCCCCAGGGCUGGAAAUUGCAGUCCUGGGCAUCGGUCGCAGGAAGGUUGUGCAGUACAUUUCCUAGCAGGAAGGAAGGAGGGAGAGUGGUCUGGGUCAGGGCUGAGCUUUGCCCAGGAGGGAGGCAAGAAGGAUGAGCUCAGGGUUUCCCAUCCUCUUGCAGAUGGAGAGCCACCCCUUGCCAAAGCUCC
ensembl:lncRNA